CACCUGUGUGGCCUUUGACAAGGACAGUUUUUUGAACCCUGGUGACAUGGAUGUUGCCCGCAUUUCUCCUCACUUGGCCAUUCUCUAACCCCUUGUGGCUUGGUGGAAAGUGCGGCACGUCCCAAUGGUCCACAGCCCGCAGGCCUCAGCUCUUUCCUGGAGGCAGGCCCUCCGGUGGAUGUGGUCUCCUUUCCUCCUCUCCAGGGCCUGAGCUUUUCAGAGGUGUCAAGAAGUCGCUCGGUCUUGCCCAUUGUUGGAGGAUUCUACCCUUUUUAGGGAAGGGUCUGCGUCUGUCCUCAGCUGCGGCUCUGCAGGCCCAGCAUUCUGCCCAGCCCUUUACAUGACCACACAGCUGAGAAGGAGAAGUGACCCACUAGCUGCAGGUAGGGACUGAGAAGGGAGAAGAGGGUGUGGAUGUUUGGAAUAUGGAAUAUAGAUAAUUUAUGGUCUCCCUCCAAUGACAGAGGAUAGUUUUAGGCAGAGAGGCUUCUGAGAUGCUGUUGCUGUACAUUGUGGUGGUUACUGGUCCUUUUGGGGGCAUCUAUCCUGUUGAUGAGACCAGGACCUCAUUUAGUGCAUUGGUAGCCAUGUUUUUAUUUCAUGACUUCAGUUCUUGGCUGCAGUUAUCACAUGACCAAAACUGGACCAAUCAGAUUCUUUCUUUUGAAACUUUAAAAUGGGGAUGUAGAGAUGCUUAUUAGUCUCUGCUGUUGCUUUUCCCUGGGAGAAGGAAGUUCUUCAGG
rnacentral:lncRNA from 1 species